rnacentral:rRNA from 1 species
UACGUAGGGUGCGAGCGUUGCCCGGAUUUAUUGGGCGUAAAGGGCGCGUAGGCGGCCACGCACGUCCGUUGUGAAAUCGCCCGGCUCAACUGGGCGGGGUCAGCGGAUACGGUGUGGCUAGAGCAAGCUAGGGGGCAAUGGAAUUCCCGGUGUAGUGGUGGAAUGCGUAGAUAUCAGGAGGAACACCGGUGGCGAAGGCGGUUCUCUGGGCCUGUACUGACGCUGAGGAACGAAAGCGUGGGGGAGCGAACAGG